GAUUCCCCUAGUAACGGCGAGUGAAGCGGGAUGAGCUCAAAUUUGUAAUCUGGCGGUCCAAGGCCGUCCGAGUUGUAAUCUGGAGAAGCGUUUUCAGUACCGGCCCGCGUACAAGUCCCCUGGAACGGGGCGUCGCAGAGGGUGAGAAUCCCGUCUUUGACGCGGUCUGCCCGGUGCCAUGCGAUGCGCUCUCGAAGAGUCGAGUUGUUUGGGAAUGCAGCUCAAAAAGGGUGGUAAAUUCCAUCUAAAGCUAAAUACUGGCGAAAGACCGAUAGCGAACAAGUACCGUGAGGGAAAGAUGAAAAGCACUUUGGAAAGAGAGUCAAACAGUACGUGAAAUUGUUGAAAGGGAAACGCUUGAAGUCAGUCGCGUCUCCCGGGAUUCAGCAGGUUCCUUCGCGGUGCAUUUCCCGGGGUUUUGACGGGCCAGCGUCGAUUUCGACCGUCGUAAAAAGGCGAAGAGGAACGUGGCACCUUUCGGGGUGUGUUAUAGCCUCGCGUCGUAUGCGAACGGUUUAGGGAUCGAGGAACGCAGCGCGCCUUUUUCAUUAAGGGCCGGGUUCGCCCAC
rnacentral:rRNA from 1 species